UACGUAGGGUGCGAGCGUUGUCCGGAAUUAUUGGGCGUAAAGAGCUUGUAGGCGGUUUGUCGCGUCUGCUGUGAAAAUCCGGGGCUCAACCCCGGACUUGCAGUGGGUACGGGCAGACUGGAGUGUGGUAGGGGAGACUGGAAUUCCUGGUGUAGCGGUGGAAUGCGCAGAUAUCAGGAGGAACACCGAUGGCGAAGGCAGGUCUCUGGGCCACUACUGACGCUCAUGCACGAAAGCGUGGGGAGCAAACAGG
rnacentral:rRNA from 1 species